GACGAACGCUGGCGGCGUGCUUAACACAUGCAAGUCGAACGGAAAGGCCCUGCUUUUGUGGGGGGCUCGAGUGGCGAACGGGUGAGUAACACGUGAGUAACCUGCCCUGGACUUUGGGAUAACUUCAGGAAACUGGGGCUAAUACCGGAUAGGAGCUCCUGCUGCAUGGUGGGGGUUGGAAAGUUUCGGCGGUUGGGGAUGGACUCGCGGCUUAUCAGCUUGUUGGUGGGGAGGUGGCUUACCAAGGCUUUGACGAGUAGCCGGCCUGAGAGGGUGACCGGCCACAUUGGGACUGAGAUACGGCCCAGACUCAUACGGGAGGCAGCAGUGGGGAAUAUUGCAUAAUGGGCGGAAGCCUGAUGCAGCAACGCCGCGUGCGGGAUAACGGCCUUCGGGUUGUAUACCGCUUUCGCCUGUGACGAAGAGUGAGUGACGGUAAUGGGUAAAGAAGCACCGGCUAACUACGUG
rnacentral:rRNA from 1 species